rnacentral:rRNA from 1 species
UAAUCCGACCUAGGCUCAUCUGAUAGCGCAAGGCCCGAAGGUCCCCUGCUUUCUCCCGUAGGACGUAUGCGGUAUUAGCGUUCCUUUCGAAACGUUGUCCCCCACUACCAGGCAGAUUCCUAGGCAUUACUCACCCGUCCGCCGCUGAAUCAGAGAGCAAGCUCUCUUCAUCCGCUCGACUUGCAUGUGUUAGGCCUGCCGCCAGCGUUCAAUCUGAGCCAGGAUCAAACUCU